GAGAAGUAUAGUGUAAUGGUUAGCACAGCCUCCGUCGAAGGAGGCUGUAUUGGUUCGAAUCCAAUUGCUUCGCU
rnacentral:tRNA from 1 species